rnacentral:ncRNA from 1 species
AUGUGUACGCGGUAGGGGAGCUUUCUGUAUGGGUUGAAGUCGUACCGUAAGGAGUGGUGGACUGUACAGAAGUGAGAAUGCUGGCAUAAGUAGCGAGAAAUAAGUGAGAAUCUUAUUGGCCGAAAACCUAAGGUUUCCUGGGGAAGGCUCGUCCGCCCAGGGUUAGUCGGGACCUAAGCCGAGGCCGAAAGGCGUAGGUGAUGGACAAUCGGUUGAUAUUCCGAUACCACCUAUUUACGCUUGAGAGAUGGGGUGACGCAGUAGGAUAAGAUGUGCGCACUAUUGGAUGUGCGUCUAAGCAUUUAGGCAUGCUUGAUAGGCAAAUCCGUCAGGCUAAGCUGAGAUGUUAUGGGGAGCCAAAUGUGGCGAAGUAUCUGAUUCCACACUGCCAAGAAAAGCCUCUAGCGAGUAAAUAGGUGCCCGUACCGCAAACCGACACAGGUAGGUGAGGAGAGAAUCCUAAGGCCAUCGGAAGAAUUGCUGUUAAGGAACUCGGCAAAUUGACCCCGUAACUUCGGGAGAAGGGGUGCCUACGAAAGUAGGCCGCAGAGAAUAGGCCCAAGCAACUGUUUAGCAAAAACACAGGUCUCUGCUAAAGCGAAAGCUGAUGUAUAGGGGCUGACGCCUGCCCGGUGCUGGAAGGUUAAGGGGAACACUUAGCGUAAGCGAAGGUGUGAAC